rnacentral:ncRNA from 1 species
UCUUAUCAAGAGUGGCGGAGGGACUGGCCCUGUGAAGCCCAGCAACCGAUAGAUUGGUUCAUUUACCAAUGUAAUACGGUGCUAAUUCCUGCAGCUUUUUUUAGAGCUGGUAGAUGAGA